rnacentral:rRNA from 1 species
GAUGAACGCUGGCGGCGGGCCUAAUACAUGCAAGUCGAGCGAACAGACGAGGAGCUUUCUCCUCUGACGUUAGCGGCGGACGGGUGAGUAACACGUGGAUAACCUACCUAUAAGACUGGGAUAACUUCGGGAAACCUGAUCUAAUACCGGAUAAUAUAUUGAACCGCAUGGUUCAAUAGUGAAAGACGGUUUUGCUGUCACUUAUAGAUGGAUCCUCGCCGCAUUAGCUAGUUGGUAAGGUAACGGCUUACCAAGGCAACGAUGCGUAGCCGACCUGAGAGGGUGAUCGGCCACACUGGAACUGAGACACGGUCCAGACUCCUACGGGAGGCAGCAGUAGGGAAUCUUCCGCAAUGGGCGAAAGCCUGACGGAGCAACGCCGCGUGAGUGAUGAAGGUCUUCGGAUCGUAAAACUCUGUUAUUAGGGAAGAACAAAUGUGUAAGUAACUAUGCACGUCUUGACGGUACCUAAUCAGAAAGCCCCGGCUAACUACGUG